rnacentral:rRNA from 1 species
CCUACGGGAGGCAGCAGUGGGGAAUAUUGGGCAAUGGACGCAAGUCUGACCCAGCAACGCCGCGUGAAGGAAGAAGGCUCUCGGGUUGUAAACUUCCUUUAAGGGGGAAGAGCAGAAGACGGUACCCCUUGAAUAAGCCACGGCUAACUACGUGCCAGCAGCCGCGGUAAUACGGAGGUGGCAAGCGUUGUCCGGAUUUACUGGGUGGAAAGGGCGUGCAGCCGGAGAGACAAGUCAGAUGUGAAAUCCACGGGCUCAACCCGUGAACUGCAUUUGAAACUGUUUCCCUUGAGUGUCGGAGAGGUAAUCGGAAUUCCUAGUGUAGCGGUGAAAUGCGUAGAUAUUAGGAAGAACACCAGUGGCGAAGGCGGAUUACUGGACGAUAACUGACGGUGAGGCGCGAAAGCGUGGGGAGCAAACAGGAUUAGAUACCCGAGUAGUC